rnacentral:lncRNA from 10 species
CGUCUCAUAAAACUAAAAGCCAGAUACAGACGUCUCCCUAUGUUGCCCAGGCCGGUCUCAAACUGCUGGCCUCAAGGAAUCCUCCUGCCUUAGCCUCCCAAAGUGCUGGGAUUUCAGGCUUGAGCCACUGUGCCUGGCCUUGGGUAAGAUUCCUCACCCCUUUUCUGGGGCUUGAGCCCAGGAGUUAGAGACCAGCCUGCGCAACAUAGAAAGACCCCCAUCUCUGCAAAUAAAUAAAUAAUUAAAAAUUAGCCAGGCAUCAUGGUAGCUCAUGCCUGUAGUUAUAACUACUCGGGAGGCUGAGGCAGGAGGAUCACUUGAGCCCUGGAGGUCGAGGCUGCACUAAGCUAUGACCAAGCCACUGCACUCCAGCCUGGAUGACAGAGCAAGACCCUGUCUCUUUUCUUAGAAAAAAAAAAAAAAAAAGAGAGAUUGAGAGAGAGAGAGAGAGAAUCUUACCUAAGAUUCCCCAGCUGGUUACUGAGGUCUGACCCCAAAGCCAGGUUUUCCUGAGGGACACAGGACCUGUCCUGGUGUAACACGUGGCCUCAGACCCAGCACUUACGGGAGUUGAGGUCCUUUCCCUCAGCACCAUCACCAAAGGUACAGCCAUUCUCCCUUCACCUGGGUCAGAGUGGGCAACUGCAGGGGCAUCUUCAAUAUCUCUGUCAAGUUUUCAUAGCAGGCUUCCUGAUUUUACUAGACUGCAUUUGGAUUCAUUAGGGAUGGGCCAGUGGGGGAGGAUAGGAGAACGGCUGUGUUCAAAGCCUCAAACUAUCCAAGAGGGGAGUCUGUAGUGUUUCACUGAAUGUGAGCACAGAAUCCUGGAUUUAGGAACCCCUUAUUAACACCCAGUCUUCCACAGCCAACCUAGUCUGGAGUGCUGACCUUGCUGGAUG